AAAUAAACAUUCAUUAAUAAUAAAUCAAAAAGACUUUCUCUUUCCUUCUCCAUUUCCCUUUCCUUUUCUGAAGAACUCACGCUUUCCCUUUCCUUUCUCUGAUAUUGUGCUGAAGAUCGAGCUCUUUCCUUCGAAUCACGCUUUCCUUUUACUUCUCCGAGCUGAAGAACUCAGAAUUCCCUUAUCCGAGAUGAAGAUCGAACUGAAGAUCGAGCUGCAGAACUGACCGAGCUGACCGAGCUUUCUCUUCUCCUAGCUGAAGAUUUCGUCAACCUAAUCUGAAAAAUGGAAGAGUUGAGUUGAUGAUUCUGCUCUCCAAAUUUUGAUUUUCUCGACAAAAUGAAGAGUUGAUGCUAAAGAACUGGGGAUCGAAAAAAUAAAAAUCGAAGAGCUGCAGGACGGAAGCUGAAGAACUGAUUUCAUCAAUUGGGAACAUCAGAAACUGCAGCAGCCAUUCACAGGCGAGCACGGAA